GAUGAAGAACGUAGCGAAAUGCGAUAAGUAAUGUGAAUUGCAGAAUUCAGUGAAUCAUCGAAUCUUUGAACGCACAUUGCGCCCGCCAGUAUUCUUGCGGGCAUGCCUGUCUGAGCGUCAUUUCAACCCUCAUGCCCCUAGGGCGUGGUGUUGGGGAUCGGCCAAAGCCCGCGAGGGACGGCCGGCCCCUAAAUCUAGUGGCGGACCCGUCGUGGCCUCCUCUGCGAAGUAGUGAUAUUCCGCAUCGGAGAGCGACGAGCCCCUGCCGUUAAACCCCCAACUUUCCAAGGUUGACCUCAGAUCAGGUAGGAAUACCCGCUGAACUUAAGCAUAUCAAUAAGCGGAGGA
rnacentral:misc_RNA from 1 species